UUAACAUAGGACCCUAUGGGAAAUGCAUACAAAUGACAUAUUUUAGAGAACCACUGAAUGGAAUGAAACCAAACAUAGCAUGAAUGUUCCUUAUGCGACGCUGACCAAGUGUUGUUACUUUGUCUCCGAUCCAUCAUCCAAGAUGGCUGCCAGUGGGGGGCUUAGUUUAACAUAGGACCCUAUGGGAAAUGCAUACAAAAGUUUUCUUCUAGAGAACCACGGAAUUGAAUGAAAUCAAACAUAGCAUGAAUAGUUCUUUCCUUAUGAGAUGCUGGCCAAGUGUUGUUACUUUGUAGCCAAAUUUUAUCUGUUUUUAUAUGAUUUCAAAAACCCAAGUAGAGUCAGGUGAGCGAUACAGGCUCUUG
rnacentral:lncRNA from 1 species